CCUACGGGAGGCAGCAGUGAGGAAUAUUGGUCAAUGGACGGAAGUCUGAACCAGCCAUGCCGCGUGCAGGAAGACGGCUCUAUGAGUUGUAAACUGCUUUUGUACAAGGGUAAACCUGAAUACGUGUAUUCAGCUGAAAGUACUGUACGAAUAAGGAUCGGCUAACUCCGUGCCAGCAGCCGCGGUAAUACGGAGGAUCCAAGCGUUAUCCGGAUUUAUUGGGUUUAAAGGGUGCGUAGGCGGAUUGAUAAGUUAGAGGUUAAAUGUCCGAGCUUAACUCGGGAACUGCCUCUAAUACUGUUGAUCUAGAGAGUAGAUGCGGUAGGCGGAAUGUAUGGUGUAGCGGUGAAAUGAUUAGAGAUCAUACAGAACACCGAUUGCGAAGGCAGCUUACCAAUCUAUAUCUGACGUUGAGGCACGAAAGCGUGGGGAGCAAACAGGAUUAGAUACCCCAGUAGUC
rnacentral:rRNA from 1 species